GCAUGAUCUUCACAGUCACCCUAGACAGUAAGCAUUUGUAAGUUGGUUUGAGUAUCAGGCACAGCUAAAAAUACUGAAGAAAGAAAAACCAAGAUAUUUCUCCAAUUGUUAUUUAGUUAGUCACAUUUUCCUUCUAUUUACGCAAGAUAAGCAAAGAUGGCCAAAAUCAUGGACUAGUUUAAUUCUGCUAACUGUAUAAUGUGAAAACUAACCAGUACAAACUAUACUGAAAUCUCCAGGCUAAUUUUACAAAAAAA